rnacentral:lncRNA from 1 species
CCUCGAGGCCUGGGAAGGGGCCGGUCCCGCGAGGACCGAGCCAGGCGAGGGCGGGAGCCUGGAGGCCUCCUCGCCGCUGUCUCUCCCACCCGGGGCGGGAGGGCUCUUGGAAGGGGGGAGCCCAGAGCCAAGCAAAGAGGGGGGCAGGCAGGAAGCGGAGGUGACCCGGGAAAAGGGAAAGUGCCAGGGCUCGCGGGUCCGCGCCAGCUCCAAAGGCCAGGGGGCGGGGAGCAUCGCGGAAAGGGGGGGAAAGAGAGGCAGCUGUGGAGGCAUGGAAUCCUGGAGGUCGUAGUAAGGAAAAACAGGGACAGAAACGAAUGGUAAAGUUCUCUUUUUAUGGGGGGGCCUUGACAAAAGGAUAAUAGGAAGGGAAAAAAAAAAAAAAAA